rnacentral:rRNA from 1 species
UACGGGGGGGGCAAGCGUUGUUCGGAAUUACUGGGCGUAAAGGGCGCGUAGGCGGUUUGCUAAGUUGGAUGUGAAAACUCUGGGCUUAACCCAGAGCCUGCAUCCAAAACUGGCAAACUUGAGUACUGGAGGGGAAAGCGGAAUUCCUGGUGUAGCGGUGAAAUGCGUAGAUAUCAGGAGGAACACCGGUGGCGAAGGCGGCUUUCUGGACGAUGACUGACGCUGAGACGCGAAAGCGUGGGGAGCAAACAGG